GACAGCUUUGCACUGUCGCAAGUGCAUUUUCCAGCUGGUCUUUCCUUCCAAGAUCCUUGUGAAGAGCAGAGAAUCGAUCCAUUGCGGUGCUCGGCGCCGACGCUGUGAUAAUGUACAGGUAUAUCCGUGCUCAGAAUGACAGACCUGCACGUUGAAGACAAGCUCAUUGACAAAAUAAAAGGUCGUGGCGUGUUUGCAAAAACGUUAAUUCUAAAGGGUAACUUUGUUACAGAAUUCAGAGUUUAACUUCUCAACCCAGAAAAACUAGAAAAAAAAUGUCAUUUGCUUUCUUCUAUGUCUGAGUACUGGCUCGAAUACAAAUGGACAAGGAAAAAGGAAGCUGCCAAACUAGAUAACCGAAGAUGAAGACGGAAUAUCUUAUGGUAUGCUUAAAUGGUAAAGAUACCAAAAUUCAUAUUUUGAUUGGCUACCGUUUAACACAAUAUUUCUCUCUUAUAGAGCAGUGCUUCUCAAUUAUUUUCUGUCAUGCCCCUCCUAGGAAGAAGAAAACAUCUCGCGCCCCCU